AUCAAUGGCCAUACCAUGCUGAAAGUACCGGUUUUCGUCCGAACACCGAAGUCAAGCAGCAUCGGGCCCGGUCAGUGCCUGGGAGGUUGACCACCUGGAGGCAUCACUUGCUGUUGAUA
rfam:Stegodyphus mimosarum contig40273, whole genome shotgun sequence.